CGGGGGGCAGCAGUGGGGAAUUUUGGACAAUGGGCGAAAGCCUGAUCCAGCCAUUCCGCGUGCAGGAUGAAGGCCCUCGGGUUGUAAACUGCUUUUGUACAGAACGAAAAGGUCUCUAUUAAUACUGGGGGCUCAUGACGGUACUGUAAGAAUAAGCACCGGCUAACUACGUGCCAGCAGCCGCGGUAAUACGUAGGGUGCAAGCGUUAAUCGGAAUUACUGGGCGUAAAGCGUGCGCAGGCGGUUAUAUAAGUCAGAUGUGAAAUCCCCGGGCUCAACCUGGGAACUGCAUUUGAGACUGUAUAGCUAGAGUACGGUAGAGGGGGAUGGAAUUCCGCGUGUAGCAGUGAAAUGCGUAGAUAUGCGGAGGAACACCGAUGGCGAAGGCAAUCCCCUGGACCUGUACUGACGCUCAUGCACGAAAGCGUGGGGAGCAAACAGGAUUAGAUACCCGAGU
rnacentral:rRNA from 1 species